UCUCUUGAAGCUCAUGGCCGAAACUCUCUCUUCUUUUCUUCCUCUCUCUCUCUUGAAGUUAGUUUGAUGGUUUAGAAGACCUCUUGAGUUCCAUUUGGUGCUUAAUUGAGUUAAGCACUUAAAGGCUUUAGACACUCAAGAAUACAAGAAGGAACUAACAUUCCAAGUGCCUUACUCUUGAUGGUGGAUACUUGUAGAGAAGAUCAUCUUUUGUUAUCUUGAUCAACACCUUAAAACGAAGUGGGUUCAAAGGCUUCAAAGGUUGCUGAAGAAGUAAAUUUUGCUGCUAAUGGAAUAACUACUGAAGGAAUUAAAGCUUUUGAUGGUAUUUUACAAUCAAACAUUUCUCUAAAGGUUCUUAACUUAUCAGGAAACAAUAUUGGGGAUGAAGGAGCUAAGGUUUUAUGUGAUAUACUGGUGGAUAAUAGUGGUAUUCAGAAGCUCCAGCUAAAUAGUACUAAUAUAGGUGAUGAGGGAGCAAAGGUCAUUGCUGAGUUGCUAAAGAAGAACUCAACCUUGAGGACAAUUGACCUCAACAACAAUUUGAUUGAUUAUUCUGGACUCCCAGGUCUUGCUGAAGCACUUCCUGAAAAUAAAUGAAAAUAAAUCGUUGAAUAGUUUAUAUCUAAAAGGACCCCAACCGGAUGAAGCAACCUCAGGGCCCUUUUGUCCACAUGACUGAUCAUUUUUAGACACUCCUCCCGUAUGGACACUAGGCCAUGAAAGUUGCAUAAAAAAGUAGCAUUGUACAAACAUGGAAGAAGAAGAAGGAGGGGAGGUCCACGAUUGGAUUCAAAUGAAAAUUUGUGUUUCUUAUGUAGUAAGUAUGAUUAUGAUUUCUUCAGUUGAUUAUUCCUUGAGUUUUAUUGUCAUGUUAAAGUACGGAUUUGAAUUAUGAAAAGUUGUGCUUGAGAAAGCAAAAUUGCAGGUAAUAAUGUACUUUAUUUAAUUAAAGUCCUCUUGCUUAUUAUUUGUCUCUUUUAAAUUCUUCUGUUGGUUUGUUAUUCCUAGCAACUGGGUAUGUUUAAUAAUCUUUAAAAUUUUAAUUUGACUCAGAAACAUUUGAUUUGAUUUGAUUGUCUCAAGACAUACAUAGAGUUAUCGAAGGAGAUAAAUGAAUGAAUCUUUCAAGAAAUUGUCUCAGGUUCCAUCUUUUUCUACAAAUCACCCAAUAUUUCUUCCUCAUUCUCAAGGAAUUGGGCCCACACAAGGUUGGAGCACUUAUAUAGUAAGGGAAGUUUGAGCUCAGUAAGUUCGGGCUGCAUCUGUGAUGGCUCGGGCAUCAUCUAUUUCAAUAUUGAUUGUGUGAAAGUCAUCUAGUAAAGCAAGGUUGGCGUAAGAGUUGAUAAUGAGAACAUUGUUCCAAGACCUUCAGUGAGUUAUGAUGAUGACCCUUAAUAGCAAUGUAGUAUUAGGUUAUAUAGUUAGCGAUGAUUAUUUGUAUUUGACAUUUUAGUGCAAUGAAUUAUCUUUCUUAUUUAUUGUAUUUUAUUUUGUAUUUUGUAUGACAUUAACUUUUGUGCAAUGGAUUGUAUUUUUUGUAUA